AUACGUAGGGUGCAAGCGUUGUCCGGAAUUACUGGGCGUAAAGAGCUCGUAGGUGGUUUGUCGCGUCGUCUGUGAAAUUCCGGGGCUUAACUCCGGGCGUGCAGGCGAUACGGGCAUAACUUGAGUGCUGUAGGGGAGACUGGAAUUCCUGGUGUAGCGGUGAAAUGCGCAGAUAUCAGGAGGAACACCGAUGGCGAAGGCAGGUCUCUGGGCAGUUACUGACGCUGAGGAGCGAAAGCAUGGGUAGCAAACAGGAUUAGAUACCCUGGUAGUCCAUGCCGUAAACGGUGGGCGCUAGGUGUGGGGGGCUUCCACGUUCCCUGUGCCGUAGCUAACGCAUUAAGCGCCCCGCCUGGGGAGUACGGCCGCAAGGCUAAA
rnacentral:rRNA from 1 species